AGCUUAAUCAUUUUGGGCUGACAAAAUUCGUGGGCCCAAGUUUGAUAUAGGGGGCGUGGCCCGUGCAAUUAGUUAGGCUUUAUUUGGCCCAAAACCCAUCCCUUUUAGGAGUUAGGGUUUCACAAAAGAGAAAUGAUGUUGCUGCAGCCCUCGGGGCGCCGCUUCAGAGGCGGGUUCUGAACUGGAGCGAGCAUCCCUGCGAUGCGGCUGCCGGUGGUGGUUGCUCCGACAUCCUGGGAGCCAACGGCGAGGCCCGAUAAGCGGGCUAGAGGCGGCGGCAGGCUCCAUCGUGGCGAAUUUCAGACCACUCUUGUCCGCCUUGUCGAAGCUUUUUCUUUUUUUAUUAUUCUCUCCCCCCCCCCUUUUUAAAAACCAGUUGGGCAGCAAGUCUGGUUGAUGAUCGGAGAAGGAGAUGGGAGCUCCUGAGCUUCCGGAUCUGAGACCGUGAGUGGGUGCUAGUGCCUUUGCCGGAGCAUUCACUGUUGUUUGGCUGUGCCGUGAAUAGGUGCUGCGGUGAGUUGCGGCGAGCGGAGCGAACAAUGCUUAGUCACGCGGUUUGAUUGAGCAAUGGAUCUAGGUGGUGCGUGCCGCGAGGGCUCCGGAUCUGCCCGAUUUCGCCCGCCUGACUCUCGCCGGCUUCUAUCCGAGCGGCGGCGGUCCAGACGAAGACGCCGCCGGAGUUUUUAAGGAAAGGCGAGGGCAGGAUGGGUGAUGCAUUUUUUCUUUCACGGGGAGAUGGAUUUGAUGCCACUAGUUCCGGCGGCGAUGUCCGAUGAAAUUUGAAGAAGGCAGCGAGUGUUAGCUUCUUGUUAAUUCAGGCAAUCUUGUAGAAAUGUUUGAUUUUUUCUUCUGUUUUUUGUUGAUUUUCCCAUUUUCUUGGUCCGAAUGGAAAUGUAAGAUGAACACUUGUGAGAUUGGACUAGAUUGAAUAAAUUUUUCUUAUUUUGCUGUCGC
rnacentral:lncRNA from 1 species